rnacentral:tRNA from 1 species
GAUUCCUUAGCUUAAUAGGUAAAGUGUAUUCUUGAUAAGAAUAUGUUCAGUGUUCGACUCACUGAGGAAUUA